GUUUCCGUAGGUGAACCUGCGGAAGGAUCAUUGUCGAAACUCGACCAAGGUCUAUCCGACCCCGAGCCGUCCCGCGGGACACAGGCCGGUCGCCUCGUCGCGUCAGCGCGGGAGCGCCGGGCGGUCGACGGCUCGACCCCCCCCUGACGGCCCCGGCCCCGGAGCCCUCGUUCUGCGAGACUCCGGGCCGGGCCAGAUCCGGAAGCGGUUAACGUCGCUCCGGCCCGGUCGCAUCGUCGCCGGGCCGGCGCGAGCGCCGAUGCCGCCAGCGCACCCCGACCCCGCCGCGGCCGAGAGGCCUGCCGCGGGGAACGGCCCGUCCUGAGGAUUGCCCCCCGUUCGCCGAGGGGGGACGUCGGGCCGUGGGGAGCGCGGCAGAGCGGUUCACGGUGCACGAUCCAAGUCUCUCGUCGGCGAAAUCGGGCCUUUCCGCCGGCCUCGGGGCUCUCCGCCCGUCGGGGAGCCUCGGAACGGCGGAGCAUCGCCAGCAAGCCCUGAAAGAUGGGCGAGAAAAUAACCCCGAACGGUGGAUCACUCGGCUCGCGGAU
rnacentral:misc_RNA from 1 species